UACAGAGGUCUCAAGCGUUGUUCGGAUUCAUUGGGCGUAAAGGGUGCGUAGGCGGGUUGGUAAGUCCGUGGUGAAAUCUCCAAGCUUAACUUGGAAACUGCCGUGGAUACUAUCAAUCUUGAAUAUCGUGGAGGUAAGCGGAAUAUGUCAUGUAGCGGUGAAAUGCUUAGAUAUGACAUAGAACACCAAUUGCGUAGGCAGCUUACUACACGAUCAUUGACGCUGAGGCACGAAAGCGUGGGGAGCAAACAGG
rnacentral:rRNA from 1 species